rnacentral:rRNA from 1 species
UGGGGAAUUUUGGACAAUGGGGGAAACCCUGAUCCAGCCAUCCCGCGUGUGCGAUGAAGGCCUUCGGGUUGUAAAGCACUUUUGGCAGGAAAGAAACGUCGCGGGUUAAUACCCCGCGGAACUGACGGUACCUGCAGAAUAAGCACCGGCUAACUACGUGCCAGCAGCCGCGGUAAUACGUAGGGUGCAAGCGUUAAUCGGAAUUACUGGGCGUAAAGCGUGCGCAGGCGGUUCGGAAAGAAAGAUGUGAAAUCCCAGAGCUUAACUUUGGAACUGCAUUUUUAACUACCGGGCUAGAGUGUGUCAGAGGGAGGUGGAAUUCCGCGUGUAGCAGUGAAAUGCGUAGAUAUGCGGAGGAACACCGAUGGCGAAGGCAGCCUCCUGGGAUAACACUGACGCUCAUGCACGAAAGCGUGGGGAGCAAACAGGAUUAGAUACCCUGGUGGUCCACGCCCUAAACGAUGUCAACUAGCUGUUGGGGUCUUCGGACCUUGGUAGCGCAGCUAACGCGUGAAGUUGACCGCCUGGGGGAGUACGGUCGCAAGAUUAAAACUCAAAUGAAUU